UGGAGAUGGACGGGCGUUCAAAACUCUUCAAUGGUUAGUUCGGAGCAUCGAUGAAGAAAGGAGUUUGGUGGGAGCCAUUGUAGUUGAAGAGAAGGCUUCGAUAUCACGUCACCUGAAGUCCUGUGCUUUGGAGCUGGAUAUUCCUAUUGUGCCUUCUAGCUGGAUCAUUAAAAGCUUAUAUUUAGGAAAGUUACUUCCUUUCACGGAAGAAAAUAAUACGUUUUCACUGCCAUUUGUUCAGAUCCCUGAAGUUCGAAAUUCCGUUGAUGAGUGAAGAAAUAUAAAUUUUUUCAGCCGUCAAUGUACCUAUGAAUUGUAAACAUUAUUUAGUCCAUCAUGACUGCAUAUUAUGUAUGAUUAGAUAUAGGCAUGUACAUUGCCAACUGGAUAAUUGAUUUUUUAUUUAUUUAAAGUGUACAAAUGAUAUUCAGUUCA